GACGAACGCUGGCGGCGUGCUUAACACAUGCAAGUCGAACGCUGAAGACCUGGCUUUUGUUGGGUUGGAUGAGUGGCGAACGGGUGAGUAACACGUGAGUAACCUGCCCUCUUCUUUGGGAUAACGCCCGGAAACGGGUGCUAAUACUGGAUAUUCACUGAUCUUCGCAUGGGGGUUGGUGGAAAGGUUUGUUCUGGUGAGGGAUGGGCUCGCGGCCUAUCAGCUUGUUGGUGGGGUGAUGGCCUACCAAGGCUUUGACGGGUAGCCGGCCUGAGAGGGUGACCGGUCACAUUGGGACUGAGAUACGGCCCAGACUCCUACGGGAGGCAGCAGUGGGGAAUAUUGCACAAUGGGCGAAAGCCUGAUGCAGCGACGCCGCGUGAGGGAUGGAGGCCUUCGGGUUGUAAACCUCUUUCGCUCAUGGUCAAGCCGCAACUGUGGGUUGUGGUGAGGGUAGUGGGUAAAGAAGCGCCGGCUAACUACGUG
rnacentral:rRNA from 1 species